rnacentral:misc_RNA from 1 species
AAAUUCUUUUCUGUUGAGAGAAAUCCAUUUUCCUCCAACAGAAAUGGUACCCGCCAACCCCACCAUUGUAUUGUUUCCUACCUGAGGAAAUUUCCCAUUUGGCUUCUAUCUCUCUCUCCCUUUUCCUUUCUUUCUCUUUCUAGUUAGUUUCUAUCUUUUCUAUCUUCCUUUCUUGUUUUGGUAUAGAAUCAUCUCCAAACUCACACACACUCACCUUUUCCUUGGUAGGUUGGUAGGUUCUUUCAUUCAUUCUUUCUUUCUUUUUCUAUGUGUAUAAAGCAAGAAUCAUAAUGGGUUCUUCUUCUAAAGGAGGGAAUAAUAGUUAUGAUUACUCUUUCAAGAUUUUGUUGAUUGGAGAUUCUGGGGUUGGCAAGAGUAGUAUCCUUCUCAGUUUCAUCUCCAAUUCUGUUCAUGAUCUCUCUCCUACAAUCGGUGUUGAUUUCAAGAUCAAGAUG